AGAGUAUAGCUUGGUGUUAGAGUGUGUGCUUGGCAUGCACGAGAUCCUGGGCUUAAUCCCCAGUACCUCUA
rnacentral:tRNA from 1 species